GUUCUCCGGAGAGAACGCCCUGCCAGACCCAGAACCCAUCUUGCCCCAGACUCGCAUUGUUGCCUCCCUCACUUGGGAGGUUGAGGCCCAAGUACUCCGGGCCCUAGAACAGCAACCUGACCCUGGAGGCGGUCCCCCAAACCGCCUGUUUGUCCCAGAAGCCGUCCGCCCGCAGGUCCUCAUGUGGGGGCAUACCUCUAAGUUCGCCUGUCAUCCCGGAUCUGCCCGCACCUUAGAGGUCCUCCGGCAACGGUUCUGGUGGCCCACCAUGGAGGCAGACACCCGUGAGUUCACCCUGGCCUGCUCCGUCUGUGCCCGCAACAAAACGUCCAAUCAACCCAGCUCCGGAUUCCUGCGGCCGCUUCCCAUUCCCAGGAGACCCUGGUCCCACAUUGCAGUGGAUUUUGUCACAGGCCUCCCUCCUUCCCAGGGCAACACCGCCAUAUUAACCAUUGUCGACCGGUUCUCCAAAUCUGCCCAUUUCCUUCCCCUGCCCAAGUUACCCACAGCCAUUAAGACUGCAGAUCUUCUGGUCUCUCAGGUUUUCAGGAUUCACGGCAUCCCUUCAGACAUAGUCUCCGACCGUGGUCCCCAGUUCACGUCAGAGGUGUGGAGGGCGUUUUGUAAGGCUCUGGGGGCCACGGUCAGUCUCUCUUCUGGUUUCCACCCACAAUCAAACGGCCAGACGGAACGGGCCAAUCAGUCUCUAGAGACUUUCCUACGCUGUGUGGCCUCAGAACACCCUACGACCUGGAGCAAUCAACUCCCCUGGGUGGAGUACGCUUACAACUCCCUGUCUAACUCUUCCUCUGGACUGUCCCCCUUCCAGUGCGUCCUGGGAUACCAGCCCCCCUGUUUCCAGCUUCUGAAGAGGAGAUUGUCAUACCCUCGGUGCAAAGCUUCGUCAGGAGGUGCAAACGAACUUGGAGGAAGGUUCGGGUCGCCCUCCGCCGGGCCUCCUUGAGAAUGGAGCAACAGGCCAACCGUCGCCGUUCCCCUGCUCCUGCCUACGCCCCGGGCCAGAAGGUUUGGCUCAGGGCCAAGGAUCUCCCACUCCGGGUGGAGUCAAAGAAGUUGGCCCCACGCUUUGUCGGUCCGUUCGAGGUGGAGAGGGUCAUUAACCCCGCUGCCGUCCGGCUUAAGCUGCCCCGGUCCAUGAAGAUUCAUCCCACGUUCCAUGUUUCGCAGCUGAAGCCGGUACGGGAGAGUCCUUUGGCCCCACCCGUCCAUCCCCCUCCUCCGCCCAGGAUAGUGGACGAUGGGCCAGUCUACACUGUCAGUCGCUUGCUGGAUGUCCGUCGGCGGGGUAGAGGGGUCCAGUUCUUGGUCGACUGGGAGGGAUAUGGGCCAGAGGAGCGCAGCUGGGUUCCCCGUCGCCAGAUCCUGGACCACACGUUGGUCAGCGACCUCUACCGCCGCCACCCAGAGAAGCGCCUUCGUGCACCUGGAGGUGCACGUAGGGGGGGGGGUACUGUCACGCCCUCUACUUCUAGGGCCAGAUAGGGGCAGCCUCUCUUUUCUCUUCUCCCCCCUCCCUCUUCUCUUUCUCCCUCUCUCUAAGCAGGUGUUGGUGUGAUGCAGCUUCAGGGCGGACAGGUGCAGCCACUUACUAAUCAGCGGAUCGAUCCGUGUGGCGGGGAGAGGAGCGCUCUCAUUCAUUCACCCGCUGCCAUAAAAACCAGACGCUUCCCACAACCCGACGCUGGACCGUAACCUGAAAAUCCCUUGCCCACUCCGCCUGCUCUUGCCGUCUGCGUACCCAGCUCUCCUGCUCUUCAUCCCAGCUCCGUCCAGGACGCCGCCUCACGCCAUCACCACCUGCCUCUCUCCCUCCAGUCGGAGUUCACGGACUGCCUGCUCACUCACUCUCUCGCUAGCUCUGGUAGUACCCGACCCUGUCUCGCG